rnacentral:rRNA from 1 species
GGGGAAUCUUCCGCAAUGGGCGCAAGCCUGACGGAGCAAUACCGCGUGAGGGAAGAAGGCUCUUGGGUUGUAAACCUCUUUUCUCAGGGAAGAAGUUCUGACGGUACCUGAGGAAUCAGCAUCGGCUAACUCCGUGCCAGCAGCCGCGGUAAUACGGAGGAUGCAAGCGUUAUCCGGAAUUAUUGGGCGUAAAGAGUCCGUAGGUGGUCAAAUAAGUCUGCUGUCAAAGACCGGGGCUUAACUCCGGAAAGGCAGUGGAAACUGUGUGACUAGAGACCGGGAGGGGUAGAGGGAAUUCCCAGUGUAGCGGUGAAAUGCGUAGAGAUUGGGAAGAACACCGGUGGCGAAGGCGCUCUACUGGACCGGAACUGACACUGAGGGACGAAAGCUAGGGGAGCGAAAGGGAUUAGAUACCCCUGUAGUC